GUUAACGAAACUUGGUGGCAUUCAUCCGACUAAUGCUGCUGUUGGUUGCUUCGGUUGUACUGCUCUCACUUCGGUGCGGGUAGCAGCCUGGCGACUUAACCGGUUGCGUUUGGUUGGUGCUUUUGCCACCGGUAUGCGCUGAGAGGUUCGCUGCGGUGCGUUGAAGCUAGGCUAAGAGGACCGCUGCCCUUGUGACAGCGGAAACCUUGGCCGGUCGAGGCGUAUCCGUUCGGUGAAUCGUGUUCGCCACUGUGUCGCUCGCCUGCUAGGCGCAACGGCUGUCGCCGGUCGAUGUGGUUGUUGAGCGGUCGCGUGCGACUUGCUUACAGCUCGACGUUGGCUGGUUUGGCGGUGCGGUUGCGUAUUAGAGCGUCACGUCUCGGUGUCAAAGUUGACCACCUAUCCGACCCGUCUUGAAACACGGACCAAGGAGUUUAGCAUAUGCGCGAGUCAUUGGGUGGUAAACCUAGCGGCGUAAUGAAAGUAAAGAUUGCUUUAAUGCAGUUGAUAUGGGAGCUGUGCUGGUUGCGGCCGUGCAGCGCACCAUAGCCCCGUCCUUGUUGCUUGCAAUAGGGCGGAGGUGGAGCGCAUACGCUGAGACCCGAAAGAUGGUGAACUAUGCCUGAGCAGGAUGAAGCCAGAGGAAAC
rnacentral:rRNA from 1 species